GCGUUUGUGGUUUAGUGGUAAAAUCCAUCGUUGCCAUGUCUAGUUCUUCCAGAAUUAGCCAGUGUCGAUGGGCCCCGGGUUCGAUUCCCGGCGGACGCA